CAACAACAGAGACAGAGCAUCAAGCAGCAGAAUGAGCGUUUUCGACCGUCUGGCACCUUUGACACCUCAAGUAUCUGCAUCCUCCAGACUAACAAGGGAACAUCCACCCGUCUGUUUGUCACCUCCUCUCCCUCUCUCUUCUCCUGUUAUCAAAAAGAAAGCAAUUCAGAUCCCAUCCUUUGAUGAGAAGGGUCUCAUCUAUGAAAAGCACAACACAAAACAAACAAACCCUGACAGGUCUUUUGUUCCAAUUUGUUCCUCCAAGACACCCAGUCAGCCCUCUUGGAGUAAAUCAUGUCAGCAAUUGCAGAGAAUCCAUGGAGAAAGAGCUUCAACCCUCCCAAGAACCAAACCCAA